GGGUUGUGAGGUUAAGCGACUAAGCGUACACGGUGGAUGCCCUGGCAGUCAGAGGCGAUGAAGGACGUGCUAAUCUGCGAAAAGCGUCGGUAAGGUGAUAUGAACCGUUACAGCCGGCGAUGUCCGAAUGGGGAAACCCAGUGCAAUUCGUUGCACUAUCGUUAACUGAAUACAUAGGUUAACGAGGCGAACCGGGGGAACUGAAACAUCUAAGUACCCCGAGGAAAAGAAAUCAACCGAGAUUCCCCCAGUAGCGGCGAGCGAA
rnacentral:rRNA from 1 species